rnacentral:rRNA from 1 species
UGGGGAAUUUUGGACAAUGGGCGAAAGCCUGAUCCAGCAAUGCCGCGUGUGUGAAGAAGGCCUUCGGGUUGUAAAGCACUUUUGUCCGGAAAGAAAUCCUUGGCUCUAAUACAGUCGGGGGAUGACGGUACCGGAAGAAUAAGCACCGGCUAACUACGUGCCAGCAGCCGCGGUAAUACGUAGGGUGCAAGCGUUAAUCGGAAUUACUGGGCGUAAAGCGUGCGCAGGCGGUUUGCUAAGACCGAUGUGAAAUCCCCGGGCUCAACCUGGGAACUGCAUUGGUGACUGGCAGGCUAGAGUAUGGCAGGAGGGGGGUAGAAUUCCACGUGUAGCAGUGAAAUGCGUAGAGAUGUGGAGGAAUACCGAUGGCGAAGGCAGCCCCCCUGGGCCAAUACUGACGCUCAUGCACGAAAGCGUGGGGAGCAAACAGGAUUAGAUACCCUGGUAGUCCACGCCCUAAACGAUGUCAACUAGUUGUGGGGAUUCAUUUCCUAGUAACGUAGCUAACGCGUGAAGUUGACCGCCUGGGGAGUACGGUCGCAAGAUUAAAACUCAAAUGAAUUGACGGGGUCAUAGCUG